AUAAAUUAAGAGUAUAUAUUUUCGUAACUGCUCGGUUGCACAGACUCAUAUUUCCUUAAUCACUUCUGAACUUCUAGAUUACACCAACUGUGGUUGGACUAGGGUACUAAUGACAACCAAAAAAUCACAGUUCCCUGAUAGACUCACCACUACUAUUACCCUGAUAGACUCGACCCGACUACCACUAGAUGGACCAAUAUAACAACAUAAACUAAUUAACUAAUCUAGGAUAUAAAACUGAUCAACGAACUUAGAAGAGCAUCAUGGUCAUCAUCAUCAUCACCCCAGCGACUGACAAAGCAACGGCUGUCCCGGCGGCCGACACGCCAGCCGUGGCGCUGCUGCUAUCCACGGCUGGGCUGUCCGGCUGACCUGUAGGAGUGGUGGCGUCAAUCGAGGGACUCUUGGUCGGUGCUUCACUUGAUUGUGGCCCCGAGGACCCCGCGAUCGGCGAACGGGCCGAAGAGACCGCCGGCGCAUGCGCCGUGUGCACCGUGGACGGCGACGGGGCGGACGAGCGUCCCGUUGGCGCCGGGGCCGGAGCAAGGAGGCGGCGCCCGGCGGGAGCUUCUGCCAUUGUCAUACCGGGCGCCGCAAGAACCGCGGCGGCGAGAGCCAAGAAAACGCAGAGCCUUCUGCACGAAGCCAUGAGACGAGAUCGAUGAUGCGAGCACGGCACGGGUCUGUUUCCUCUGAUCCUCUGAUUUGAUGAAGAUUGAUCCUAGGAGCGCUGAAUAUAUAUAUAUAGGAGGCGCCAUGAAUUACACAUGGAAAGGCAACGCGAUUAACGCAAUCAAAUGCAAAUAUGGAAAUAGGAGCGGCGCUUUCCGUUGCGUUUUGUGGCAUUGUUGGCGGUGCUUUGCAUGGAAUUCCAUAACAGAUGCGCGACCUAUAGCUAUCAUGGAAUUGUUGGAAAUAGAUCGCUGCUCAUGUGAGUUCUGAGAAAGUUCCUGUCGCCAUCCAAGUUCUGGAAUUCCAUAUCAGAUGCCCCACGAGAUACGGUAUACCUAUGGUGCGCAUUGCUUCCCAUGAUCAAUUAUCUUAGGAGAAUCUCAGAUGUUUACGAUCUCUGUCAAAUUUUGGUACUGUAUCUCUUUGGCAUCAGUAUUCAGUAGUCGAUAGGUAGCUCUUAAAUUCAGACAUAACCGAUGUUCUCCAACUAUUCGACUUUCAGUACAUCAUAAAUCGCACCUGAAUGUGCAACAUCAAUGACAUGGCACAGCAAACUCUGCACAACUUUAUUUACCUAAAGAACCAAAUACUCUUGAAAUCUAGCUACUAUGUGCAAUCUUCAUAUUUUUCGUCAUUUACGUUGCACCCUUCAUGUAAAAUCUGCUUGACCCUGUCAAAGAUCUCCUGCAUCUGCUUUCUGGAAUGUAGAGGAGAAGGGUACAUGCACGCGCAAUCCAACUGUCCGUCCCUGAUAGAGUCGAACAUGCCGAUCGAUGGACCGAUGCCGUGCACGGUGGCGCCGCAGAC
rnacentral:lncRNA from 1 species